GGCUUAAAUUGACUAUAUUUUUAAGUCUAGCCUGCCCGGUGAUGUAAUUAAACGGCCGCAGUAUUUUGACUGUGCUAAGGUAGCAUAAUCAAUAGUUUUUUAAUUGAGGACUGGAAUGAAAGGUUGGAUGGGGAAAUAACUGUCUAUAAACUUAUUUUAUGAAUUUUACUUUUAAGUUAAAAGGCUUAAGUUUAAUUAAAAGACGAGAAGACCCUUUAGAGUUUUAUAUAGGAAUAUAAUUAUUUUAAUUGGGAUAUAUUACUUUAUUUUUUUAUAUUUGGUUGGGGUGAUUAUUAAAUUUGAAGAACUUUAAUUUUUAUAAACAUUGAUUUAUGGUAAAUUGAUCCUGACUUUUGGAUUAAUAGAUAAAAUUACCUAAGGGAUAACAGCGUAAUUUUUCUAGAGAGUUCUUAUCGAUAGGAAAGAUUGCGACCUCGAUGUUGGAUUAAAAUAGGUAGCUUGGUGUAGAAGUCAGCUAACUUGGUCUGUUCGACCAAUAAAAUUUUACA
rnacentral:rRNA from 1 species